ACGGGAGGCAGCAGUGGGGAAUAUUGCACAAUGGGGGAAACCCUGAUGCAGCGACGCCGCGUGAAGGAAGAAGUAUCUCGGUAUGUAAACUUCUAUCAGCAGGGAAGAUAAUGACGGUACCUGACUAAGAAGCUCCGGCUAAAUACGUGCCAGCAGCCGCGGUAAUACGUAUGGAGCAAGCGUUAUCCGGAUUUACUGGGUGUAAAGGGAGCGUAGACGGCAAAGCAAGUCUGAAGUGAAAUCCCGGGGCUCAACCCCGGAACUGCUUUGGAAACUGUUUAGCUAGAGUGCAGGAGAGGUAAGCGGAAUUCCUAGUGUAGCGGUGAAAUGCGUAGAUAUUAGGAGGAACACCAGUGGCGAAGGCGGCUUACUGGACUGUAACUGACGUUGAGGCUCGAAAGCGUGGGGAGCAAACAGGAUUAGAUACCCUGGUA
rnacentral:rRNA from 1 species